AUUGAACGCUGGCGGCAGGCCUAACACAUGCAAGUCGAGCGGAUGACGGGAGCUUGCUCCUUGAUUCAGCGGCGGACGGGUGAGUAAUGCCUAGGAAUCUGCCUGGUAGUGGGGGACAACGUUUCGAAAGGAACGCUAAUACCGCAUACGUCCUACGGGAGAAAGCAGGGGACCUUCGGGCCUUGCGCUAUCAGAUGAGCCUAGGUCGGAUUAGUUAGUAGGUGAGGUAAUGGCUCACCUAGGCGACGAUCCGUAACUGGUCUGAGAGGAUGAUCAGUCACACUGGGACUGAGAUACGGUCCAGACUCCUACGGGAGGCAGCAGUGGGGAAUAUUGGACAAUGGGCGAAAGCCUGAUCCAGCCAUGCCGCGUGUGUGAAGAAGGUCUUCGGAUUGUAAAGCACUUUAAGUUGGGAGGAAGGGCAGUAAGUUAAUACCUUGCUGUUUUGACGUUACCGACAGAAUAAGCACCGGCUAACUCUGUGCCAGCCGCCGCGGUAA
rnacentral:rRNA from 1 species